rnacentral:hammerhead_ribozyme from 1 species
UUGCGAAACCGGCCCUUUUGGGGCCGGUCGGCUGGGCGUGGUUGCCUAGUCCUGAUGAGCAGCCGAGG